UACGAAGGGAGCUAGCGUUACUCGGAAUCACUGGGCGUAAAGCGUAUGUAGGCGGAACCACAAGUCAGAGGUGAAAUCCCGGGGCUCAACCCCGGAAUUGCCUUUGAAACUGUAGUUCUUGAGUAUGACAGAGGAUGGUGGAAUUUCUAGUGUAGAGGUGAAAUUCGUAGAUAUUAGAAAGAACACCGGUGGCGAAGGCGACCAUCUGGGUCAUAACUGACGCUGAGAUACGAAAGCGUGGGGAGCAAACAGG
rnacentral:rRNA from 1 species